AUUGAACGCUGGCGGCAUGCCUUACACAUGCAAGUCGAACGGUAACAGGUCUUCGGAUGCUGACGAGUGGCGAACGGGUGAGUAAUACAUCGGAACGUGCCCGAUCGUGGGGGAUAACGGAGCGAAAGCUUUGCUAAUACCGCAUACGAUCUACGGAUGAAAGCAGGGGACCGCAAUGCCUUGCGCGGACGGAGCGGCCGAUGGCAGAUUAGGUAGUUGGUGGGAUAAAAGCUUACCAAGCCGACGAUCUGUAGCUGGUCUGAGAGGACGACCAGCCACACUGGGACUGAGACACGGCCCAGACUCCUACGGGAGGCAGCAGUGGGGAAUUUUGGACAAUGGGCGAAAGCCUGAUCCAGCCAUGCCGCGUGCAGGAUGAAGGCCUUCGGGUUGUAAACUGCUUUUGUACGGAACGAAAAGACUCUUUCUAAUAAAGAGGGUCCAUGACGGUACCGUAAGAAUAAGCACCGGCUAACUACGUG
rnacentral:rRNA from 1 species